rfam:Salinicoccus alkaliphilus DSM 16010 genome assembly, contig: EJ97DRAFT_scaffold00014.14
AGACGAUGAGGUGGAUAGGUUCGGCGUGUAAGUGUGGCGACACAUGCAGCGGACGAAUACUAAUCGAUCGAUGACUUAUUCAA